rnacentral:rRNA from 1 species
UACGAAGGGGGCGAGCGUUGUUCGGAUUUACUGGGCGUAAAGGGCGCGCAGGCGGUUCUGUUUGUCGAGUGUGAAAGCCCCGGGCUCAACCUGGGAACUGCGCUCGAAACGGCGGAACUAGAGUUCGGGAGAGGAGAGUGGAAUUCCCAGUGUAGAGGUGAAAUUCGUAGAUAUUGGGAAGAACACCGGUGGCGAAGGCGGCUCACUGGACCGGUAUUGACGCUGAGGUGCGAAAGCGUGGGGAGCAAACAGG